rnacentral:rRNA from 1 species
AUUAAACGCUGGCGGCAGGCUUAACACAUGCAAGUCGAGCGGGGUGAUGGUGCUUGCACUAUCACUUAGCGGCGGACGGGUGAGUAAUGCUUAGGAAUCUGCCUAUUAGUGGGGGACAACAUCUCGAAAGGGAUGCUAAUACCGCAUACGUCCUACGGGAGAAAGCAGGGGAUCACUUGUGACCUUGCGCUAAUAGAUGAGCCUAAGUCGGAUUAGCUAGUUGGUGGGGUAAAGGCCUACCAAGGCGACGAUCUGUAGCGGGUCUGAGAGGAUGAUCCGCCACACUGGGACUGAGACACGGCCCAGACGCCUACGGGAGGCAGCAGUGGGGAAUAUUGGACAAUGGGGGGAACCCUGAUCCAGCCAUGCCGCGUGUGUGAAGAAGGCCUUAUGGUUGUAAAGCACUUUAAGCGAGGAGGAGGCUCUUUUGGUUAAUACCCAAGAUGAGUGGACGUUACUCGCAGAAUAAGCACCGGCUAACUCUGUGCCAGCCGCCGCGGUAA